rnacentral:rRNA from 1 species
CCUACGGGUGGCAGCAGUGGGGAAUAUUGCACAAUGGGGGAAACCCUGAUGCAGCGACGCCGCGGGAGUGAAGAAGUAAUUCGUUAUGUAAAGCUCUAUCAGCAGGGAAGAAAAUGACGGUACCUGAGUAAGAAGCCCCGGCUAACUACGUGCCAGCAGCAGCGGUAAUAAGUAGGGGGCAAGCGUUAUCCGGAUUUACUGGGUGUAAAGGGAGCGGCGACGGCAGUGGAAGUCUGGAGUGAAGGGCGGGGGCUCAACCCCCGGACUGCUCUGGAAACUGUACGGCGGGAGUGCAGGAGAGGUAAGUGGAAUUCCUAGUGUAGCGGUGAAAUGCGUAGAUAUUAGGAGGAACACCAGUGGCGAAGGCGGCUUACUGGACUGUAACUGACGUUGAGGCUCGAAAGCGUGGGGAGCAAACAGGAUUAGAUACCCUAGUAGUC